rnacentral:rRNA from 1 species
UGGGGAAUAUUGGACAAUGGGCGGAAGCCUGAUCCAGCAACGCCGCGUGAGGGAUGACGGCCUUCGGGUUGUAAACCUCUUUCAGUUCUGACGAAGCUGUGCCUUUUUGGGUGUGGUGACGGUAGGGACAGAAGAAGCACCGGCCAACUACGUGCCUGCAGCCGCGGUAAUACGUAGGGUGCGAGCGUUGUCCGGAAUUAUUGGGCGUAAAGGGCUCGUAGGCGGUUUGUCGCGUCGGGAGUGAAAACCGGGUGCUCAACACCUGGCUUGCUUUCGAUACGGGCAGACUAGAGGCAUUCAGGGGAGAACGGAAUUCCUGGUGUAGCGGUGAAAUGCGCAGAUAUCAGGAGGAACACCGGUGGCGAAGGCGGGUCUCUGGGAAUGUCCUGACGCUGAGGAGCGAAAGUGUGGGGAGCGAACAG